rnacentral:rRNA from 1 species
UCCAGACUCCUACGGGAGGCAGCAGUGAGGAAUAUUGGUCAAUGGCCACAGGGCUGAACCAGCCAAGUCGCGUGAGGGAUGACGGUCCUAUGGAUUGUAAACCUCUUUUGUCAGGGAGCAAAGGGCGCCACGUGUGGCGUUUUGCGAGUACCUGAAGAAAAAGCAUCGGCUAACUCCGUGCCAGCAGCCGCGGUAAUACGGAGGAUGCGAGCGUUAUCCGGAUUUAUUGGGUUUAAAGGGUGCGCAGGCGGAAUGUCAAGUCAGCGGUAAAAUUUCGGGGCUCAACCCCGUCGUGCCGUUGAAACUGGCGUUCUUGAGUGAGCGAGAAGUAUGCGGAAUGCGUGGUGUAGCGGUGAAAUGCAUAGAUAUCACGCAGAACUCCGAUUGCGAAGGCAGCAUACCGGCGCUCAACUGACGCUCAUGCACGAAAGCGUGGGUAUCGAACAGGAUUAGAUACCCCAGUACA